GUAGUCCAUGCCGUAAACGUUGGGCACUAGGUGUGGGGGACAUUCCACGUUUUCCGCGCCGUAGCUAACGCAUUAAGUGCCCCGCCUGGGGAGUACGGCCGCAAGGCUAAAACUCAAAGGAAUUGACGGGGGCCCGCACAAGCGGCGGAGCAUGCGGAUUAAUUCGAUGCAACGCGAAGAACCUUACCAAGGCUUGACAUACACCGGACCGGUUCAGAGAUGUUCCUUCCCCCUUGUGGGGCUGGUGUACAGGUGGUGCAUGGUUGUCGUCAGCUCGUGUCGUGAGAUGUUGGGUUAAGUCCCGCAACGAGCGCAACCCUCGUUCUAUGUUGCCAGCACGUGAUGGUGGGGACUCAUAGGAGACUGCCGGGGUCAACUCGGA
rnacentral:rRNA from 1 species